UUGUAAGUGUUUGAGGGCGUUCGGUGGAUGCCUUGGCACCAGGGGCCGAUGAAGGACGUGGUAGGCCGCGAUAGUCCUCGGGGAGUUGUCAAACGAGCUGUGAUCCGAGGGUGUCCGAAUGGGGAAACCCAGCACGAGUGAUGUCGUGUUACCACCAGCUGAAUGUAUAGGCUGUGUGGGGGGAACGUGGGGAAGUGAAACAUCUCAGUACCCAUAGGAAGAGAAAACAAUUGUGAUUCCGUGAGUAGUGGCGAGCGAAAGCGGAGGAUGGCUAAACCAUGCGCAUGUGAUACCGGGUAGGGGUUGUGUGUGUGGUGUUGUGGGGUCUGUCUUCCUCGAUCUACCUGUCGGGGCGUGAGUGAGAAAGCUGCAUGCUAGGUGAAGUGGCCUGGAAUGGUCUGCCGUAGGCGGUGAGAGUCCGGUAGCUGAAAGCGUGUGGUCUUGCGUGAUGGUGUCCCCAAGUAGCAGCGGGCUCGUGGAAUCUGCUGUGAAUCUGCCGGGACCACCCGGUAAGCCUGAAUACUUCCUGGUGACCGAUAGCGGACUAGUACCGUGAGGGAAAGGUGAAAAGUACCCCGGGAGGGGAGUGAAAGAGUACCUGAAACCGGACGCUUACAAUCCGUCAAAGCCUGUGGAUUCUUUGGUGAAUCGUGGGUGAUGGCGUGCCUUUUGAAGAAUGAGCCUGCGAGUUAGUGCUCGGUGGCGAGGUUAACCCGUGUGGGGUAGCCGUAGCGAAAGCGAGUCUGAAUAGGGCGUU
rnacentral:rRNA from 1 species